GAGGUGCGGGGUUUUCCUCAGGGGAGAGUUCUGUGGGCACCAUGCUGGUGUCUGGAUCUCCGAGGGGGUUGUCUGGGCGAUAAUCUGAGGCUGCGUGUAUUUUGCCUUCGUUAGGUGAGCAGGUAGGACACAGUUCACCAUGAUCCUGGAGUUUUUGGCCAGAGAGAGGCACUGCAUCAUGUGCACAGCUGGGCCAGUCUGCAGCCGGUGUGCUGAGAGGAGGUUAACAAUAAUGCAGAACUGGUAGAAGAUGGGAAGAGAGGGAGGAAGUGAAAAGGUUUCUCCCAGAGAUGGGCCACACUCUCCGGUGAAUGUUUGCACGGUGCUGUUUUUGCUACGGCUUCCAGUGACCUAAUAAAAGAUAGGAGACUGAUGUGAUCAGUAUGGCAAUGUAAGGGACAUGGAAAUGGAGAGGAUUAACUGGACUCCCUCCCACUGAGUGUGGAUGGAAACAGCCAAAAGGAAGAUGGGUGAAUUUUGUGAAUGCGAAAAUCUCAUCACUCCACUGUGUCUUCCAAUGAAGCAAGUUGCUUUUGUUUGUGCUGUGUUGAGGAAACACAGGCUGCCCCAGUAACUGAGGCCUUCCUUGUCUGGGGUGUUCAGACUACAUUUUCUGAGAAACUAUCAUGGGAAGAAAAAUCUCAUCUCCCUUCUCCUCCUCCUCUCCUAUCCCUGGCAAGAAUAUUCUAUUGUUUAUGAAAGCUAAUAUACAUCCCAAGGAUAUGAUGCUUUCUUCAAGUCUGACAAGGUAUGUGAUUCUCAUUUUUCUAUUUUAAGGAAAACAGUAGGGUAAAUUAACAGAUUGGGUGCAACUGAGAAAUGUGGUCUUCUUUUCUACCAUUGUUUGAGUGGCCAUUUACUUGGGUCAAAGGUCUUUUGCAAAGCAGGAUGCUAAAAAGGCUCAUUCUACCUUUAGUGAGAUGAGAGCUGCCUGAGUUUCUCUCCCAAGUGGUAGUUAUCUCUUCUGGUGUGCCUUCUGACAUUUGAACUUGAAUUCAUUUUAAGUAGUUUAAAUCUGAGCUGUUCUUUUAAUACAAUAACAUUUUUAUAUGCCUGGGAUAUGUUAUCUAAUUAAAGACAUUAGUUUUCUUGUAUUUAAAAGAAGACAGGGAUUCUUUUUUGUAUCUUCAAAAUUAAUAAUGAAACAUGCUUGAGGAAAAAGUAUAGAGUUACAUAAAUAUCUUUUGAUAUGUACUUAUUAAAUGCUUUAUCAAAGUUCAGAUUUCUUUAAUACUCAUAGAAGAAAACAUUGCUGAUACACAGAACAGUGAAAGAAAUAGAUGAUGAGUGAAAAGUGGCUGAUGCUGUAAGAAAGAUGCAAGGCAAAGGUUUUACAUUAACUAAUUUUAUGUAAUUGGUGUUAUUUUUGUUGCACUGUCGUGAUUAUCUUUUCAGUCCUGCUUGACCUGAAGCAAAGGAAUAGAUUUCUGAACAUUUGCAGUUCAUCUAAUUUUACCAGCCACACUGGAGUCUAAUAGGGUCACACUUCUUUUGAGAUGAACACAUAACAGAAAAUCAAAUUAGAUUGAUACAGUAGCUUUUCUUGUGUCUGUGUUGCUUGUGUGGCUGCAAAAAUGUCUUGGCAGUGGGUGUAGUCACCAGCUGGGCCUUGAGUGGCUUGAAUGAGAAACUGCACCGCGUUGUUCCUGAGAUGAGAGCUUGAGAGUUUGGCAGAGCUGAAUCAGUGCCCAGCAGCCAGGAAGCACUAGUGAAUGUGGAUGGAGCAGCUCCCUAUUUGUCAGCCAAACCAAAGAGAUCUCGAUGGCAGCAAUAAAACCUCAGUCUGUCAUGCUUAUAUCUGUUUUAGUUUGUGAGGACUCACUCUUUUUUCUAGGUAUUUAUGCAACCAUGUAUGUCGUAAGUCUAAACACACAGCUCAGGCAUUUUCUUUGCAGCCCUACCUACCAGUUCCAGAGGUGUCAAUGGGAAAUUCUUAAAGUGCUUUUGUACUUGAAACUUCCUCUUAAUUUUGCUGCAGGAAUCUUGCUUGAUAUAGCGUUUUCUGCUACUAAUUCCCAUUUGAAUGAUAUUGACAUGUGCCUUCACCCUUUCCUCAGACCACACAAGUUUGGAAAUGAAAAGCUCAAAAGUAAGUUGUGAGUGAACGUGAUUCUUUCAAUAAUCCAUCUUGCAGCGACAUCUCAGAUAAAAUGUGGGUUAAGCUAAGGAAACAAGAGUCAUGCAUCGUCAGGAUAAGUGUGUGAAAAUGAAGUCAGUCAGGACUUUAGUCAUCAGGUGUAGUUGCUUAUGGAUGUGUUCAAAACUACAAAUGGUUGCUUUAAGUCUUGUUCCCAUUUCAAGCCUGUUGUGAGACUUCCAUCACAACUAAUUUAAAACCUUUUGCAUCAAGUCGAGGCCGGGCUUUCAUCUUAAAAAUACUAAUGGUUCAAGUUGCCGUAUCACUAUGUGUUUCCUUGUUCAGUUUGGGAUUUUUUUUUCAUUCACAGUUACAACUAGAUGUCCCCUGACAAAACAGGUCUUUGGUGUUCAGUUUCCUGAAUUUUAUUAGGGAAUAAUAAUCCUGUUAAUGGAUGCAAAAAUAUUACUGCCUUGAGUGUGCUUUCUCCUUGUAAUACUAGUAUUUUUAGCAGAAUCUCAUAGGAGUAAUGGAGAGUGAGAAGGUAAUGUACGCUUACUUUUCUAAUGGAUUUGAUUAACAACAAAAACCUUAAGCACGUGGUGGUACUGAUUUAAUUAUUUUUGGUACGAUCCCAGAAAGCUAAGGCAUGGACCCCACUGAGCUAUUCCCUACUAAAGCAUAUAUCAAAAUUCUGAUUAAAAUGUGUAUAUGCUGAGAACGACUUGGCUGCAGUGAAACAAUGUAACAAGUUUUCUCCUUUAACAGUAGGCCCAGUCCUGCAGAUCCUGGAAAAUGCUAGUUUGUACUGACUUCAUUAAAGGUGGAAUUCAGCCUACUGCUGAGGGCCGGCAUUAAGCCAGUCUAUGCUUAAAUCUCUCCUAAGUCUUCAAAUAUGCACUGCUUUUGUUUCUGAAGUUUGGUACAUUUUAUGGGGGGAAUUAAACACGCGUAAGAUAUGUAGGACUGGGCCCAGAAAGCUAUAGUAAUUGAUAAGGAAAAAAAUUUAAAAAGCAACAUGUUCUAUUGUACAGCAUGAAACACAGUAGUACUUCUUGCUGAAUUAAAAUUUCUUGUGCUAGUCAAGAAGUUGUUUUCAUCUUCUGUUAAACUUUUGCACUUCCGUCUCUGUUGAGCCAGGAGCAAUUUAAAAAAUGAGUAUCAAAGUAGAUUGGCUUGGUAAGUUAAACAAGCAGCAGUAAAAUGAUGGUGACACCGAGGCCAUUACUCUCCCAUGCGAGGACCUCACUAUUCUGGUGCUUCUGCAGUGGUAAUUAUCCAGAGUUUUUCACAGCCUGAUUUUGGUUCCCUGUCAUCUGGAGUUGUUGGUCUGUGAUUGUUGCCAUGAGUAGAAAACCAAAGGCCUGUGAGGAAAUACUACCAAAACAAGUUUUAUUUCUGUGUUAAUUCCCCCAACUUCCCCCUUUCAGUCAGAUGUUGAUAUUUUGAUGAAAAUUCAAAACAGAGAUCCUGGAAUACAUUUUAAUUAAUAGAGGUGAAGAUGAGAAGGAAGUGUACAAAAGGAUUAUGAGCAGCCUGGACUGAGAUGGCAGGAUGCACAGCUUCUAAAGGUCUGCAGACUGGUAAAUACAUUUCCUAGAGAAAAAUUUGAUGUAUGCACUAGAAAGGAACUUUCUAUGAGGAAGAAAAUGCCCCCAGAUGUACCUUAUUGCCCAGAUGCAGAUGGACAAAUGCCACUACUGAUGGGGCAAGUAGUAGUUUGAUGGUACUCAGCAGGGAACACGCUUGUUGUAGUGUGGUGCUGUGGUGGUCACUGUGCAAAGGGACUGAUGGCAGGACAGGAGUGGGUUUGCAGUUAAGCAGAGUCACCAGCUGCUGUGUUCAUGGGCAGAGGAGCACAGUGGUUGUGCUGCUCCUUCUCAUAGAUGCCACAGCUCAGAGCCCCCUGCAGGCUGCUCUGCCAGCCGAGGGAAGGCAGUCCCACUGCUUGCAAGGCAUCUUGGUGCUGACGUGCAGAAUUUCGCUCUUCUGGAAGCUGUCUGUGGUGCUUUGCUCAGGCAAAAAGUUGGCUGCCAAAAUGUGAAUUAGUACAGCCUCUAAGAGCUCUACUGACUUGAAUAUAUAUUUUUUUUUCCAUCAAUCACACUGUAUAGUUUAAACAACAAAGUUCUUUUAAAGAACUUUUCCUUUCUGAAGUCACCUUAAGGACAGUGGGGCAGCAAUAAGUACACUAAACAUUCACUUAGCUUCAGUCUAUAUGGUCUGUUCCAGCAGAUAUGCAUUUUAUACUCCAAAGUUUUCCCAGCUUAAAGAGUAAACAUAUAGUCUUAGCUGACUGCAGAAAGAUUAGUUUACUUCAGUGGGCUUAAUCUCUGACAUAGACUAACUAAUCUUGAUGUGAUCCUAUUACUGCAAGGUCAGGUGGGAUUGUGGGGUUUGAUUGUCUUGCUUUGCUCAUUUGACUCUUGCAUGUGUGUUUUGGACCAGUUUUUGUCUUUAUUGGUGUCUCUGAGACUUUAUAGUCAGGAGAUAAAGAUGGCUAAGUCAUAUGAUGCCAACAACAAAACUGCUAGGAGAUAGAUUAUGAAAGAGGAAAAAAGAUAAGUCCUCACCCCAUUGUAUAUCCCUUUAUCAAUGUCACAUUGUAAUUUAGGAAGUAGCAAAGAAAAUCUGCCAUCUUCUCUCAGAUCUCUGCAGAUUGGUGUGACAUGAGUUAGUCAGAUGGAGUAUAUUACUGUGGUAAAUGUUUCUAGCAGAAACAGAGAAUCUGUAACUGAAGGAGCUGAUAAAGGUGGAAAUUCUCGGUACAGUUGGUUCUGGGCAGAGACCUGGGUAACAGGCCUGACACAGCCAGCUUUUGUUUGCCUCUCACCAAAAGAGGGCAUGGCAGGCUGGUGACUGCCGUGUCUAGAUGGUGCUGGUAGUGAUCUGUAGCUGCCCAAAAGCUUUUUUGUUUCUAAAUAUUAACUUGGCACGUCUCACCACUGGGCAUGAACUGGAGCUAAGUUCAUAAUCAAGAGAUAAAAUGGAUGAGGUGCUCCUGACGGUCUGUGAGUGAGCGUGUGUGGACAAAGAGCCUGGCUUUCUCUAGCAUGAGCAUUACAGUAACUCUUGCUGGCAGUACCCAAUACAUCAAUAAAAACCUUAUGGGUUUUGCCCUAUUCUUCUACAUAGAUUGUCAGCAAAAAACACAGUUGCGUUUUUAUCUAGUGCUUGGUAGGGAGAUGAGAGCAAUGAACUUUUCUCCUUAUUUGCUUCUUAAAAUCUCCCUCAAUUUAAUUAAGUUUCACUACUUUCAUGCACAUUUCUUAAAAAAUAUCUGUCAACAGAAGGUAAAACACUGCAAUCAGAAGACAUCCAGUACAAUGUUAUAACUCACUGGAGUGUCACAGGGCUCAGUGAGUUAAGCAGUGAGAAUAUAUAGGACCAGCAAUACACUGAGAGGUGAUAAGCUCUGCCAGACAAGACCAUCUAGGAGAUGCUGAUUCAUUGCUUGCUGAUGUGUGAUAGAUUACAGAGCUGUCUUUCCUGACUGCAUAUGAUAGGUAAAUGUAGCUGAAAUAAAGAGACUUUUAAGUGCUAGAGUUAAAAUGCAGAAAAGGGGUAUCAAUGCUAUUAUAUUUGUAUUUAUUCUCUUUUGGUUUUGUUACUUCUGGUGAUAUGUGAACUCUGAAAUGAGAUGUUCAGUUUGUGUAGCUAACCCUUUUAAAUGAAUACCCUCGGAGGUUCAGCUGAUAUUUUCCUUUUUUUCUCUUUUGGUAAGUUUCAGUAAUGUUGGUAAAGUACUUUGAACAUCUUGCAAAAUUUUUGGGCUUACUAGUGUGAAGAACUGUGAGUUUGUCAAUAAGUUGAGAAUGUUCUUGUAACAAUGUAGGGAUUAUUUGCUCAAGCACUUGGCAAACAAUAAUCAUACUUGCAUCUACCCAAGGAUUUUACAGAUAUCAGGGAAUUAAGAGUCUUUGCACAGCUAUAUAUGAUUGCUAGGUUUUUGUGGGUUUUUUUGAUAGAGAAACCAAGGUAUUAAAGAUAUAGAGUAACAUGUGCCUGGUCCCUUAGAAGAUCAGGGCCAGAGCCAGGAAGGUAUCUGAGUUCCUUAUUUUACUUCUAAACCUAUUCUACACCUUAUGUUUACUUUUAUUUUGCAGCUAAUUCAUACUUCAUAUUGUCUUGCUCUACUUGGCAUCAAAAUGUAUUGCAUAUGCACAUUUCCAGGUCUUCUCUAGGUUAUAGUUCCCAUUAUUCCUAACUGUUCCAAAUUUACCUAUGUAUUUUAUUUAUUUUUCUCAUUUGAAAAGCAGUAUUACCAAUUAGAGCAAACCUGAUUGUGUACAAUAUCAGUAUGUUAUGGUUUAGGAAAGAUCACUGGCCAAUUAAAUUAAUUUUCUUACAGAGCGGUUUUCAUACCUCUCCUGGACAAUUAAUUGCUAAUAAAGAUUAACAUUUCAGCAUAUUGGACCUUUCCCACAUGGUAAUAUAAUGUAAAAGAAAAUUAGACAUUUUAAUGCUUAUGUUUCUAAGGGGAGGAUAAACAAAACUUGGAAAAUCCUAUAUAGUUCCCUUUAAGAAAAUACAUUCUGCAGAAUAUCCACCAGGUGGGGCUGGUGAUACUAAAAAAAAGAAAAAAAAAGUGUUAUUUGUAAGUGAGAAUCAAGUUGCCAAAUCAUGGAGGUAUUUACCGUUCAGGAUACCAAAUGAAUGUUGUGCUAGGAAUGAUGUAUUUGGAAUUUCACAAUGUAGCUCAAUGCUAUGAAUAAGCAAACUGAUACAUUAACAAAGCAUCUAAUGGGAGUCUGUCCUUCCUCCUUUAUAGAACUGAUAGCAAUUCAAUUAUCUCCCGACAAGAAGCAGUUGCUUUCUCUGUCUUGGGAAUGAUGGACCGCAGUAGGAAGCCUUACUUCAUUAUUUAGUGUGUUGAAUAUGAGCAGAGUUCCAGCACACCUGCCACUCACAUGGUCCGGGUUUGCCCGAGCAGGGCGUGGGCUUUUGGCACCAGUUGUAGGUGAUGUCUGUGGCGGGAAGCAGAAAUAAAGCUACUUCCUUCCAGAGUUACAGGCUCAUUCUUUCCAUUCUGAGAUCAGUGGAGUUUUGUGGGCUAAUAUCUAGAAGUGGAGGCUCAAGGCUUCAAGGCUUACUUGUAUUUCAAUUACUCAUUUUGCUUAUGAUUUAAUUCAUUAGCUCUCUCUUUUUCUUCACGGCCCUUUCCAGUUCUCUGUUAUUAGCUAAUAGACAUUCUUUCUUUCAGCCUUUAUUUUAGUUGCUAGUAGGUAAGGAGAUGUUCUGGAUUUAUUUAACUAGCUUUGUUUGAGACCACAGUAUUGCAUUGAAAACACUGGUGUACUGAAUACUGAAAUAAUGACCAUUUUUUGCUCAGCUGAAAUGAAAACUUGUUACUGUCGUGAGAUCCUAUCCUCAUUGAAAUCUAUGUCAAAACCCCCUUUGCUUUUAAGAUGAUGAGACUGAAGCUGAUUGCUCCUUAUGUUUGCACAAUAUACAUUAAAUUCACCUGGCAUGAACCUCAUUUUCAGUAGAUGACCACCACCAGUGGCAAAGGUUCUGCUUCUGGAAUAAGUUUUUAUGCAUUUUGGAUCUAGGGGCACCCUGUUGACAUGCACAAGGGCCCCAGCAUUUUUCCAGUCUGCCCAGCACAACAGACUCUUGGUGCUCAAGUUUGUUGUUGCACAGACAGAGCUGGCAUUAUGGUUUUUUUUCACAGGGCAAAAGUAACUGUAUUAAUGUACAGACAGUUUCAUCCAUGUUUUAGGCAUAGGAGAAAACCAUUUCAAACUGUAUUUAAUAGGAAAUAUUUAAAGGCAUUUUAUUUACUACAUCUAAUUGUUUGGGUAUAAAUAGAGUACUUGGAAAAUAAUUAAAAUAUGGGGAAAAUGAAGAAAAAUCUUGACCUGAUUAUUCAGGCAAACUGAUGCUAAUGGUCAUCCAGGUUUAAAUACUUUGUUAGUACUGUUUAUCAUUUGUCAGUCUAGGCUGAUAGUUAUUUUAAUUAACUACACAGAAGUGCUUUGUCACAUACACAAAUCUGAGUCCAGUGAGAAGUCGUCUUGAGGGCAUAUGAUGCACAGAAAAUUGAGAAAGUUGGCCUGUAAAAUAAUCACAUAAAGUGCAGUGUAAUCCUUUCUGUCAUCUAAUUUAUUGUAUUACUAUGACUGUGAGGCCUGGAAAGAGUUCUGUUCUUCUGUCUAUCUAAAAGGAAAGUUAUUUAUGAGUAUGCUGAGACUGAAAUAACAUAAAAGUAAUUAAUGUGUUGUCAUUAUC